rnacentral:rRNA from 1 species
AAAUUGAAGAGUUUGAUCAUGGCUCAGAUUGAACGCUGGCGGCAGGCCUAACACAUGCAAGUCGAACGGUAACAGGAAGCAGCUUGCUGCUUCGCUGACGAGUGGCGGACGGGUGAGUAAUGUCUGGGAAACUGCCUGAUGGAGGGGGAUAACUACUGGAAACGGUGGCUAAUACCGCAUAACGGCGCAAGACCAAAGAGGGGGACCUUCGGGCCUCUUG